UACGUAGGGUGCGAGCGUUAAUCGGAAUUACUGGGCGUAAAGCGUGCGCAGGCGGUUUUCCAAGACAGAUGUGAAAUCCCCGGGCUCAACCUGGGAAUGGCAUUUGUGACUGGAAGGCUAGAGUGUGUCAGAGGGGGGUAGAAUUCCACGUGUAGCAGUGAAAUGCGUAGAGAUGUGGAGGAAUACCGAUGGCGAAGGCAGCCCCCUGGGCUGACACUGACGCUCAGGCACGAAAGCGUGGGGAGCAAACAGG
rnacentral:rRNA from 1 species